rnacentral:rRNA from 1 species
AAGUCUGUUCUGCCCCCUGAUUUUUUAAUGGCCGCAGUAUAUUAACUGUGCAAGGUAGCAUAAUCAUUAGUUUUUUAAUUGGAGACUUGUAUGAAUGAUUGGACGAGGUAUAAGCUGUUUCAAUAAUAAAUUUAGAAUUUUAUUUUUUAGUUAAAAGCUAAAAUUUUUUUAAAAGACGAGAAGACCCUAUAGAUCUUUAUUAUUAUUUUAUUGUAAUUAUUGAAGAAUUUUUUUGUUAUAAUGAUUUUAAUAAUUUUGUUGGGGUGACAUUGAAAUUUGUUUAACUUUUAAUUUAGUGAUACAUUAAUUUAUGAAUUUAUGAUCCAUUAUUGUUGAUUAAAAAUUUAAGUUACCUUAGGGAUAACAGCGUAAUUAUUUUGGAGAGUUCUUAUCGAUAAAAUAGUUUGCGACCUCGAUGUUGGAUUAAGAUUAAUUUUGGGCGCAGCUGUUCAUAAUAUUAAGUCUGUUCGACUUUUAAUUUCUU